rnacentral:rRNA from 1 species
AGAGUUUGAUCCUGGCUCAGAUUGAACGCUGGCGGCAGGCUUAACACAUGCAAGUCGAGCGGUAACAGAUCUAGCUUGCUAGAUGCUGACGAGCGGCGGACGGGUGAGUAACGCGUAGAAAACUGCCCAGUAGUGGGGGAUAGCCCAGAGAAAUUUGGAUUAAUACCGCAUACGCCCUACGGGGGAAAGGGGGCUUUGGCUCUCGCUAUUGGAUGUGUCUGCGUGGGAUUAGCUAGUUGGUGAGGUAAGGGCUCACCAAGGCGACGAUCCGUAGCUGGUCUGAGAGGACGAUCAGCCACACUGGGACUGAGACACGGCCCAGACUCCUACGGGAGGCAGCAGUGGGGAAUAUUGGACAAUGGGGGCAACCCUGAUCCAGCAAUGCCGCGUGUGUGAAGAAGGCCUGCGGGUUGUAAAGCACUUUCAGUAGAGAAGAAAAGCCUAGGGAUAAUACCCCUGGUCUUGACGUUACCUACAGAAGAAGCUCCGCUAACU